rnacentral:rRNA from 1 species
UACGGAGGGUGCGAGCGUUGUCCGGAAUCACUGGGCGUAAAGGGCGCGUAGGCGGCCUGGUAAGUCGGGGGUGAAAUCCUGCGGCUUAACCGCAGGGCUGCCUUCUAAACUGUCGGGCUAGAGCACGGUAGAGGCAGAUGGAAUUCCCGGUGUAGCGGUGGAAUGCGUAGAGAUCGGGAAGAACAUCAGUGGCGAAGGCGGCCUGCUGGGCCGGGGCUGACGCUGAGGCGCGACAGCGUGGGGAGCAAACGGG